UGUUGGCUCGAAGCCCGGGGCGCCGAGGGAGCGGGCGCGGCGGCCGGGCCCUUGCCGCUCUGCCGCCCUCGGCGAAGGGAGAGCGAGGCGCGAGGCAGCAGCCGCGGCCCGCGCACGGCUCGAUGACCCAGCUGCAAAGAGGCAAGGAUUUUUUUAACUAUAUAUAUAUUUUUUGAAGAAAGCCAGGUUAUAUACGAAAGGUUAGAAUUGAGGAAAAAUCUCCCAGACCAGAAGUAAUCACUGCUAAUAUUCCGAUGAGUUGUAUUUCUCCAGAUUUUUACCUGCCACGCAUACCAAGAGUUUUAAAUUUUCAAUGGAUGGAUCGCACACAGACAGAGGGGAAGAUGGUACAUGAUUGGGCCAAGACCCACACAGAAUCAAACCAGACCUUCUGUCACGAGAGGAAUCUUUAUUGGGCGGGAGAGCGACACGGCUGACUGCCCAGCGGACUAGGACAGCCCCAAGCUCCUCCUCCUCCUUCUUUUCGUAUCUAUGUCUGGACAAGAUCAUUUCUUACAAGGUGAAGCAGCUGCGGAGUGUCAUCCAAGCGAAAGGCAAGCUGCAAAAACAGUGCAGUGGUGUUCAUCCAUCUUCUUCACUGCAUCUGGCACCGUGAGAUUCCUGGUCCAGUGAGGGUGAAAACAAAGGCUUUGAGUCAAUUCAGGACACUGAAGCAGCCACAACAGUGCAACUGAAAAUACGAAAGAGGA